UCCUCAUUAGCUCAGUUGGUUAGAGCACCUGACUGUUAAUCAGGGGGUCCCAGGUUCAAGUCCUGGAUGGGGAGCGA
rnacentral:tRNA from 1 species